CUUUGGAUUCUUCAACCAAGCUUACUUAUUUAUUACUGUAUUUUGUAUUGCCAAUUCGUAUCUGAACUGUAACUAGUAUACCCAACAAUCCACAGGCUAACAAAAAAUAUCAGAGUGUGUAUUGUUUCUUCAAAAGGUAAUCGUUGUCAACGGUUCGUUUAUCCUGAGGUUUAAGAGUCGUCAUUUCUUCGACGGAGCCUUCUUGAGCCGUCUGCUCUUCGACAAAGUUUAUUUUUCCGGCUUUGUACCACACAACGAGAUCAACAAUAAAUGCCAGUGCGAGUAUUCCACCCGUAGUGCCUGUGGAUUAAAAAAUUUUAAUUAAUCACACUGUGUUGAGUACUGACUUUAAAGAUUAUUAUAUUCCCUGCGCCACAUACUUUCGAGGUACUCAAGGUAUGGGUUUAAAAACAAGAUUUACUGGAAAGUAUGUUAUUUUUACUAUACCCGGUACUGGAUGCAGUACCUAAGCAAUGUUAUGUGCUAUAUGUUAUAUUAUGUGCUCGCUAAGUAUAAAUGACUCGGGAAGAACAAAUCAACGUGGAGUGACGGUGGUGUAGUAGUAUGUUGUGAGCUAAAGUAAAACCACUAGACAUUACUCUGACUAAUUUACCCGGUGAACGUACCGUGAAAGAACAUCCUGAAUAUGUUUGAGUCGUAGAGCCAACAGGCGCCACGCUCACCGCAGGAGUUAUCCCAAACCAGGCAUGCGGAAUCCACAACUGCUCCGUACACUAUGGGACAAGUUACCAAAUAAGCCUAUCGCAAAUUGUAUGAGACCUAGAGCCAUCGCUUUAUCCUGGGGAUCGACGCAUCGCAGAAUAAGAAGCAUCGACCCCACUUCACUGGUAGAGUGG